AAAACAAAAGAGCCAGCCUUCAAUGUACGCAAUUAUGUGAAUGUCAUUAAUAAGGAGGCAGGAUUUUUCUCUCUUCUAAAGCCCAUGUUAUUACUAGAGAAACAAUUUAAUCUCAUUGUUUACAGAAGUUGUUUAAAUAAUAUUUUGUCGUUAUAGUAACUAAUGAAAUUCUACAUAUGAUGUAAAACACCAUACUGAAGAUCUACAUUAUGUCAUCAUAACAACUAGAAUUCAAAAAGCAUGCUUAAGGAAAGAACAGAAGCCUGGAAUUGUGAGAGGUUAAAAAAGUCACCGAAGACAGAACAGCUGGCUGCUAGAGCUCGUCGACCUCCAAAGAGAAAGAUUCAGUGUGACUACAUAAACAAUAGAAAGCCCACUGGACAGCGCACAGGUGCUAAGCAGUCAUUUUAUACGAUGGAAAUGUGUAAUCUAGUCCUCUUCCAACACUAUAUAGUUCCUGGAUUGUGGAAAUACUGCAAGAAGAUCAGAUCUUACAUUAUUUCAGCCCCAAUAUGGUGUCCUGAGGCAAAAAAUAUUUAAAUGUGACCACAAAUACCAAGCUCUUCACACGUUGCCUAGUUGGUGCACAUAGGAUUAACUUAGUGCACAUGGACCAUGAAGACACAGCCCUGGUUUAUUCUCCUGUAAGUUGUGUUUAAGAAACAAAUGAAAAUUGUGUAUAUUAAAAAGCAAAUGACAGCAAAAUAAAGUAACCCAGGGGGUAAGGGCAGGCUUGAACUAUUGCUCUCUUUGAAAAACUCUGGCUAACUGGGCCAGAAAGUGGAUGUGCAGAGCUUCUAACUUAAUGUAAGAUCAACAAUGCUGGAAAACAGUUUGCUUUCCCAGAGCUCAUUUGUUUUGUUUGCCAAUGACAUCAUCAUGUUCUGAUAGGUUUUGCUUCCUGAGGAUGCCUGUUAUCUCGCCAGUGUUUCCGACUUGCCAAAGUCAGCCGGCUCUGGAAGGUAGUGGAAACACAGGUUAAACUUUCUUUGGCCCCCUGUAAGUUACCACGAUCAGAGUCAAAGAAAUGAGGGUGCAUUCAGGCAUGGAAACACUGCCUUAGAACACACAUAUGCAAGCAAAAGUUAAGGAUUAAAAUCUCCAGUACCUGCCUACAAUAGAACCCCCAAGGGCAACAUUGAAAGAGUUCCUGAUUGUGGAUUGCACACAAAAAAGA